GAAAGGGUGGAGCACAACGUCGAAAGCAGCCGUUGGGAGCCCAGGAGGCGGGGCGCCUGUGGGAGCCGUGGAGGGAACUUUCCCAGUCCCCGAGGCGGAUCCGGUGUUGCAUCCUUGGAGCGAGCUGAGAGCUCGAGAUCUAAAGCUUAAGGACUAUGGAGUGGAUCUCAUUGAAGUUUCAGGCAAUGGAUGUGGGGUAGAAGAAGAAAACUUCGAAGGCUUAACUCUGAAACAUCACACAUCUAAGAUUCAAGAGUUUGCCGACCUACCUCAGGUUGAAACUUUUGGCUUUCGGGGGGAAGCUCUGAGCUCACUUUGUGCACUGAGGACUCCUAGAAGUACCCCACCCCACCCCUGCUCCUUGGAGGACAACGUGAUCACUGUAUUCAGCUCUGUCAAGAAUGGUCCAGGUUCUUCUAGAUGAUCUGCACAAAUGGCUCCUCUCCUCCUUCCUGAUGUCUGCCAUUAGCACUGGAAUAAAGUUCCUGCUGAAAAUCCA
rnacentral:lncRNA from 1 species